UACAGAGGUCUCAAGCGUUGUUCGGAUUCAUUGGGCGUAAAGGGUGCGUAGGCGGUGAUGUAAGUCAGGUGUGAAAUCCCGGAGCUCAACUCCGGAACUGCACUUGAUACUGCUUUGCUAGAGUACUGGAGAGGAGACUGGAAUUUACGGUGUAGCAGUGAAAUGCGUAGAGAUCGUAAGGAAGACCAGUGGCGAAGGCGAGUCUCUGGACAGUUACUGACGCUGAGGCACGAAGGCCAGGGGAGCAAACGGG
rnacentral:rRNA from 1 species